rnacentral:rRNA from 1 species
UGAGUACGAGACGCUAAGGCGUUGAAGCAGUCUAUGUCAGACUUCCAAGAAAAGCUCGCAAUGUCAUGAACAAAAAAUGCCUGUACCAUAACCGACACAGGUGGGUAGGUAGAGUAUACUAAGGGGCGCGAGAUAACUCUCUCUAAGGAACUCGGCAAAAUGACUCCGUAACUUCGGGAGAAGGAGUGCCUUAUUUUUAUAAGGUUGCAAUAACAAGAUCCAAGCAACUGUUUACCAAAAACACAGGUCUCCGCUAAGUCGUAAGACGAUGUAUGGGGGCUGACGCCUGCCCAGUGCCAGAAGGUUAAAGAAGUUGGUUAGUUUCGGCGAAGCUGAUGACUGAAGCCCUGGUGAACGGCGGCCGUAACUAUAACGGUCCUAAGGUAGCGAAAUUCCUUGUCGGGUAAGUUCCGACCCGCACGAAAGGCGUAAUGAUUUGGAUACUGUCUCGGAGAGGGGCUCGGUGAAAUAGACUUGUCUGUGAAGAUGCGGACUACCUGCACCUGGACAGAAAGACCCUAUGAAGCUUUACUGUAACUUGAGAUUGAAAUUGGACUUUAUUUGCGCAGUAUAGGUGGGAGACGUUGAGAAUAUUCUUGCGGGAAUAUUGGAGUCAUCAGUGAGAUACCACUCUUGUAAUGUUAGAUUUCUAACUUUGUAUCAUGAUCUGGUCAAAGGACAGUUUCAGGCGGGCAGUUUGACUGGGGCGGUCGCCUCCCAAACGGUAACGGAGGCGCACAAAGGUUUCCUCUGAACGUGUAGAAAUCGUAUCUAGAGUGUAAAGGCAUAAGGAAGCUUGACUGUGAGACCUACAAGUCGAGCAGGGACGAAAGUCGGUCUUAGUGAUCUGACGGUGCUGAGUGGAAAGGCCGUCACUCAACGGAUAAAAGUUACUCUAGGAUAACAGGCUGAUCUCCCCCAAGAGUUCACAUCGACGGGGAGGUUUGGCACCUCGAUGUCGGCUCAUCGCAUCCUGGGGCGGUAGUACGUCCCAAGGGUUGGGCUGUUCGCCCAUGAAAGCGGUACGCGAGCUGGGUUCAGAACGUCGUGAGACAGUUCGGUCCAUAUCCGGUGUAGGCGUUAGAAUAUUGAGAGGAGCCUUCUUUAGUACGAGAGGACCGAGAAGGACAUACCUCUGGUGUACCAGUUAUCGUGCCAACGGUAAACGCUGGGUAGCUAUGUAUGGAGUGGAUAACCGCUGAAAGCAUCUAAGUGGGAAGCCCACCUCAAGAUAAGUAUUCUC